GUACGCCUACGGGGGGCAGCAGUAGGGAAUCUUCCACAAUGGACGAAAGUCUGAUGGAGCAACGCCGCGUGAGUGAAGAAGGGUUUCGGCUCGUAAAGCUCUGUUGGUAGUGAAGAAAGAUAGAGGUAGUAACUGGCCUUUAUUUGACGGUAAUUACUUAGAAAGUCACGGCUAACUACGUGCCAGCAGCCGCGGUAAUACGGAGGUGGCAAGCGUUGUCCGGGUUUAUUGGGCGUAAAGCGAGUGCAGGCGGGU
rnacentral:rRNA from 1 species